GUUUAGGUAGGAGGAGGGGUUCCUUAAUUCACAGUGGUGGACUAACUUGCCUUGCCUUGAACCAAGCCUCCCAUUCAGAAGAGUUGGAAUAGCUGGAAAAAAUUUUUUAAAAGAAAAUCUAUUUUCAGUUAUCAGAGAGCUACCAAGACACAAGUCUUGUGAGACUGGAGAUCUGGAGAAAAAUAAAACCCAGAGAGGUGAUCACAACAGUCCCCACUGCUUUUACCCCGCCAGGCAUUGGCUGAGUCAGAGGCGGCUGCCGAGCGGCUGAGAAAUCAGGGCUGUGAAGAUGAGAAACCAAGCCGAGAUUCCAGCGGUCUCACAUGCUGAGGGAACAAACAUUGAUGCAAGCAUUUAAUCCUGAUUAUGUCAAGCUCCAAGACAUCUACUUGCCAAGCGAAGAGCUGGAAAAAAUUUAAAACUAGUGGAUUGGAUGAGUAUUAUUCCUUCGUUUCAGUUUAUGAAUUUCAAGUGUCACUCUCUUAAUCAAGCUAGAGGUGCUUUUCCAUAUCCAUAAGUGAUAAUAACUACUGAAGUAGGUUAAUGCUGAUUUUGGCAAAACUAGAUUGAUAACGGACAGAAUAUUUGACUCUAAGUUUUUAAAAAUUACUGUGUCACAGCCUUGGGAAUCUGGUGUCUAUUUGGUGUGUAUUUGGGUACAAGGUAUUGAGUAAAUUGAUAAGUGAAAUUUCUCAAUACCAAUGACGGGAGCCUCUGGAAAGAAGUAAUGCAAUGCAACAAAAUUCAUUUCCUUUUAAGUGCUGGUACAGAACACAGCCCAUUGUAUUAUAACUAUAUACAGCUGCACUGAACACAUUAUUUAUAACACAUACAGCACAGUGUACUGCAGCACAUUGCAUUGUAACUUACGUACUUAUGCUUAGAGCACGGACCAUGCAAUUCUUUUCUCUACUUCAAUUGCCUAGUCCAGGGCCUUAAUAAUUUAGAAAGUGUUUGGUAAGUGGUUUUGAAAAAACAUAUGAAUCAACAAGUGUAAAGGAGUUCUACAAUAUUCACAUUUUUACUAGAUAAAGAUUCUGGUAAUGAAAUGAACAUCAAUGUUCUCAGCACGCAAAUAAUCCACAUAAUGACUUGUUUAUAGCUAUAUUAUCCUUUAUUAUGAAUAAUCAAAUCACAGUUAAGUUCAUAAAGUGGCCAAUGUCCACCAAUAAUCAGCCAUCUAAAAGUUUAAGCCUGUGAUGCUUUUCAAACUAAUGGUUUAUUUUAAAAUUUCUUUGGAG
rnacentral:lncRNA from 1 species